UAUUAUUUUAGAUGUGAAUUAAUUUAACUUGAGUAGUAUUAGUGUUCUUGAAACUUAAAGAAUUUGGCGGUAUUUUAGUCUUUUUAGAGGAAUCUGUCCCGUAAUCGAUAAUCCACGUUGGACCUUUCUUGAAUUAAUUAGUUUGUAUAUCGUUGUUGUUGAAUAUUUUUGUAGAUAAUAAUGUUCUUGAUUCUUGUAUUGAGAAGUAUUUCAAAUCAAGGUGUAGCUUAUAUUCAAGUGGAGAUGGAUUACAAUAUAUUUUAUGUAGUAUGAAUUAUUAAUUGGAAUUUUUAUUAUGAAGGUGGAUUUAAUUGUAAUUUUGUGAAGAUUGUUAUUAUGAAUAUGCUCUAGAAUAUGUACAUAUCGCCCGUCGCUCUCAUGGAUAAGUGAG
rnacentral:rRNA from 1 species